GCCCAGGUAGCUCAGUUGGUAGAACAUCAAGCUCUUAAUCUGAGGGUCCAGGGUUCAAGCCCCUCUCUGGGUG